rnacentral:lncRNA from 10 species
GAGCUCACUGCAACAGCAUCAGGAGGUUCCUGUGGAAUUAUUAUAAUAGUACAUACAACUUCCCAGGUUCUGAUUUAGGAGGUCUGGAGUUGGCCCCAGGGAUAUGCAUUUUAACAAACACCCAUGAACACCUGGCUGACUCUGAUGCUGUUCUACAAACCAAACGUUAAGAAAUUCUGACUGUCAUCUUCAACAGGUAAAACUAGCCUUUUGUGGAGGCACAUUCACAGAAAGAAGCAUGUUGUAACAGAAGUGGGUGGAACUAGUUAUUGAAGGGGGCAGCAUUGAAGGA